GUGGCUGAGCCCAAGGGCUGAGUAUUAUAUUGCAUUCAUGGCAGGAGAGCACUGAAAAGUUUCAUGGAUCCAGGGAGGAGUGGAGAACGGAGACCAAUUAUACAAUCUACAACACCUACCAUGUGUUUGGAAGGGGGAAGAACCUAAAAUAUUUGGAGUCAAAUGGAGUCUAGAAGCUGACCCAGAAACUAGAAUCUUUCCUUGUGAGAAUGUUGAGGGCCAGGUGCGGUGGCUCAAGCCUGUAAUCCAAGAACUUUUGGAGGCUGAGGUGGGCAGAUCACUUGAGCCCAGGGGUUCGAGACCAGCCUGGGCAACAAAGACCCUGUCUCUAUUUAAAAAAA
rnacentral:lncRNA from 1 species